rnacentral:rRNA from 1 species
AAUAUUGGACAAUGGGCGAAAGCCUGAUCCAGCCAUGACGCGUGUGUGAAGAAGGUCCUCGGAUUGUAAAGCACUUAAUGUUGGGUGGAAGGGCAGUAACUCAAUACCUUGCUGUUUUGACGUUACAGACUGAAUAAGCACCGGCUACCUGCGUGCCAGCAGCCGCGGUAAUACGAAGGGUGCAAGCGUUAAUCGGAAUUACUGGGCGUAAAGGGCGCGUAGGUGGUUUGUUAAGUUGGAAGUGAAAGCCCAGUGCUUAACCCGGGAAUUGCUUUCAAUACUGAAGAGCUAGAGUACGGUAGAGGGUAGUGGAAUUUCCUGUGUAGCGGUGAAAUGCGUAGAUAUAGGAAGGAACAUCAGUGGCGAAGGCGACUACCUGGACUGAUACUGACACUGAGGUGCGAAAGCGUGGGGAGCAAACAGG